GCCACCUACGGGGGGCAGCAGUGGGGAAUAUUGCACAAUGGGGGAAACCCUGAUGCAGCGACGCCGCGUGAGCGAUGAAGUAUUUCGGUAUGUAAAGCUCUAUCAGCAGGGAAGAAAAUGACGGUACCUGACUAAGAAGCCCCGGCUAACUACGUGCCAGCAGCCGCGGUAAUACGUAGGGGGCAAGCGUUAUCCGGAAUUACUGGGUGUAAAGGGAGCGCAGACGGCAGUGCAAGUCUGGAGUGAAAGCCCGUGGCUUAACCACGGGACUGCUCUGGAAACUGCGCAGCUAGAGUGCAGGAGAG
rnacentral:rRNA from 1 species